CCGAGUUCAAGUCCGGACAGUCAUUCAUCAUGCUGAGGCUUGUUGUUUUCACCGCUCUUGUCCUUCUUGGACACUGUUCAGAGGAGCCGCUGAAGGGAAAUGAACGUGUUGUUGGGGGCUACGAGGCAAGGAAGCAUG